UACAGGGGGGGCAAGCGUUGUUCGGAAUUACUGGGCGUAAAGGGUCUGUAGGUGGCCAACUAAGUCAAACGUGAAAUCCCUCAGCUUAACUGGGGAACUGCGUCUGAUACUGGAUGGCUCGAGUGUGGGAGAGGAAUGCGGAAUUCCAGGUGUAGCGGUGAAAUGCGUAGAUAUCUGGAGGAAUACCGGUGGCGAAGGCGGCAUUCUGGACCAUUACUGACACUGAAUCGCGAAAGCUAGGGGAGCAAACGGG
rnacentral:rRNA from 1 species